AAUUUCAGCAAUUUGCUUUCGAAGUUUCACGCCAUCCCGUCCGUUCUGGCAAGUUAAGCAACGUUGAGUCCAGUUAGUUUUUUAGAUCAGAGACGGCGUGGGAAUUUUAAAUGUUGUAACCU
rnacentral:rRNA from 1 species